rnacentral:rRNA from 1 species
CCUACGGGUGGCAGCAGUGGGGAAUAUUGGGCAAUGGGCGCAAGCCUGACCCAGCAACGCCGCGUGAAGGAAGACGGCUUUCGGGUUGUAAACUUCUUUUCUGCGGGACGAAGAAAGUGACGGUACCUCAGGAAUAAGCCACGGCUAACUACGUGCCAGCAGCCGCGGUUAUUCGUAGGGGGCAAGCGUUAUCCGGAUUGAUUGGGUGUAAAGGUGGUGUAGGCGGGAAAGCAAGUCAGAUGUGAAAACUCAGGGCUCAACCCGCAUCCUGAAUUUGACACUGGAUUUCUUGAGUGCUGGAGAGGCAAGCGGAAUGCGGGGUGUAGCGGUGAAAUGCAUAGAUAUUAGGAAGAACACCGAUGGCGAAGGCAGAAUACUGGAGAGCAACUGACGCUGAGGCACGAAAGCGUGGGGAUCGAACAGGAUUAGAUACCCGAGUAGUC